rnacentral:lncRNA from 10 species
GCCCUCACCAAGCUUCCAGCAGGCAGGUGGAGGAGGGAGACAGACAAUUCCACAGUAAGUGCGGAUAAGGGAAUUACAGGGUUUCAUAGGAAUGUAAGGAUGGGUACAUAAGCCAGACCUGCUGAAUCAGGGAAAGCUUCCCAGAGGAAAUGGCAUCUAAACUGAGAUCUAAAAGCUGAAGAGGAAUUGGGACAAUUAAAAUAGGAAAAAGAAGAGGAAGGAAAGGCCCAAAGUGAGAUAUAGCACAUCCAAGGAACUGAAAUAAGUUAGAUAUUAGUCUUCUUAGAUCAAGUUAUACUGCAGCAACAAAUGACCCCAAAAUGUCAGUAGCAUUUAACAGCGAAGAUUUAUUUCUUUAUGCUGCAAUAUGGAGAAAUGAUAGUGGGGGAUGCUAAAAUAUGGAGAGAAGAAUGUAGAGGGUAAAACCGAGGUAGGAACCUGAGGCAAUAUUUCAGCCUGAAGAGGAGCGUGGCCUGAACUUUAGGGUAGCCUGAAUUAGUGGCAGUGGAGAAAAAGAGAAGUAGACAGAAUCAAGAGAUAAAGAGAAAGUUAGGUCAAUAGUUCUUCUUGAUAGAUAGGACGUGGAGGGUGAAGGAGAUAGAGUCAUGUUUGACACAAGUUCAAUACGCACUACAUAGCUUUAUAGUAACC